GAUGUUGCGUUAUUGCAAUCCUUCUGUUCUCACCCAAGACCAGAAAGUGAAAAGGCUGGACAGGACUGAAAAGUCACAUCGGCAAUCUCUGAAACUCCUAAACAAAGAAUCUCUCACUCCUCUCAGUGUCUCUAAGAGGCCAAAAGCUAUGAUUUCGAGAGAGUGAUCCUCAGAAUACUCCCCACGAAAGCCAGAUCUAAUGACACGCUGCCUCCAGUAGGGACGGAAGAGAAGAGCAAAACGGCAUUUCUGAUUUAAAGACAAGGAGACACAAGCUCUGUGCAGCCAGUAAUACAGCAACGAACAUGUCAUUCCCACUAAGCUGCAAAACUAUGCAGGAAAACUCUGGCUUGUCUCAGCCUACAUGCGGCAGGACGACGAAGUGGAGCUACCUUCGGAUCUCUGAGGAGCGCUCUAGUAGAGGCCAGAUGAAGAAGAGCCGGCGUGAUAAUUGACUCGGAUGUCAGCUUUAGGUACUCCGUCGGGGGAAGCUCGGACACAAAUGCAAGAAAGCUUCCCCACUUUUUUGACUGCUACCAGAACGGAGGUCCUUCAAGUUACACUAGCCUCUAUGGAUAUUAUUCCCUUAAUUUCGGAAUGGCAAGUUCUAGACGAUCAUUCCCCCUCUGAUCACAGAGACGCUCUAUUCAGUUUGGAUGCUUUACGCCCAGAACGCAGAACCUAUAAAACUUUCAGGAAUACAAAUUGGGACCUAUAUUGCAAGAAACUUCGAUCAGCUCUUCCAACCGCACCCAACAGAGACUCGAUCUUAUCACCGUGUGUGGCUCGUCGAGGUCUUCGUGGCUUU